GAUGAACGCUGGCGGCGUGCCUAAUACAUGCAAGUCGAGCGAACAGAUGAGGAGCUUGCUCCUCUGACGUUAGCGGCGGACCGGUGAGUAACACGUGGAUAACCUACCUAUAAGACUGGGAUAACUUCGGGAAACCGGAGCUAAUACCGGAUAAUAUAUUGAACCGCAUGGUUCAAUAGUGAAAGACGGUUUUGCUGUCACUUAUAGAUGGAUCCGCGCCGCAUUAGCUAGUUGGUAAGGUAACGGCUUACCAAGGCAACGAUGCGUAGCCGACCUGAGAGGGUGAUCGGCCACACUGGAACUGAGACACGGUCCAGACUCCUACGGGAGGCAGCAGUAGGGAAUCUUCCGCAAUGGGCGAAAGCCUGACGGAGCAACGCCGCGUGAGUGAUGAAGGUCUUCGGAUCGUAAAACUCUGUUAUUAGGGAAGAACAAAUGUGUAAGUAACUAUGCACGUCUUGACGGUACCUAAUCAGAAAGCCACGGCUAACUACGUG
rnacentral:rRNA from 1 species